AUAUUUACCUAGCAGGGGAGAUAUCAUGAUCACAAAGGUGGUAUUCCCAAGGUGAGGCUUAUCUAUAGCACUCUGGAUGUGCUGAUCCCUGUGAUUUCCCCAAAUGUAGAAAACUUGACUGCUUAAUUUGUGGUAGACAAAGA
rnacentral:snRNA from 1 species